UACGAAGGGGGCUAGCGUUGCUCGGAAUCACUGGGCGUAAAGUGUGCGUAGGCGGGGCUUUAAGUCAGGGGGGAAAUCCUGGAGCUCAACUCCAGAACUGCCUUUGAUACUGAGGAUCUUGAGUUCGGGAGAGGUGAGUGGAACUGCGAGUGUAGAGGUGAAAUUCGUAGAUAUUCGCAAGAACACCAGUGGCGAAGGCGGCUCACUGGCCCGAUACUGACGCUGAGGCACGAAAGCGUGGGGAGCAAACAGG
rnacentral:rRNA from 1 species